AUGGUACCCAAAACAGCGCUCAUGGCUGUGCUUUUGCUCGUCCUUGUGGCCGGCGAUCUUGUCCACGGCCACACCAUUCUGCCGCCGCUCGGACGCGCCCGGCGGAGCCUCGGCUGGAUGCAAGGCAUGAAGGGAGGGCCGCCCAGUGGCAUGCAGACAUCAGAUACUGCUGCUUUUGCCGCCCGCAGCCGCGCCAUUUCUGCGGUGCAAAAAGGGGAGGAAAGCCGCCGGGACGCCAGCAGGGAGGAAGGCAAGUUCAUCGCGCCCGUGCCUGGUUUCAAGCUCCCGCCCCUUCCUCCGAACGCUGCCUGA
rnacentral:rRNA from 1 species